AAUACGUUGUACGGUCCUCAUUUCCGGUUGCGGAUCCGGCGCAUGAGACACGAGUGUUAGCCGUUUGGGCUUCCAGCGAGCGUUCAAGUCAAAAAACUGGGCACGGUGGAAAUAUCUGAUUGAUUUAAAUGGGCCACGAACGGUCCACCACUCAAAUCAAGUAAAACGGAGAAUGAGACCUGUUUUCCGUCGCUAAAGAUUCAAUAAGCAGAUGGGCUGUCAGUGUUUUAUGAACGCCUUCAACCUGAGGGAUCCACAGAUCGUAUUCCAGAGAGGUCCUGAAGAAAGCUAAGGAGCACAGCAGGCACAUCAACGACAUCCAGACGUCACCAUGUUCAUCAGUGCCUCAAAGGACAACACCGCCAAGGUGUUUAUGGGAGGUGGGCAGGAGGCCAUGGACGCGACCACAACUUCCACCAGGAUUGGCAAGUUUGAGGCCAGGUUCUUCUGAGCUGUGUAUGAAGAGGAGUUUGGCAGGAGUCAAAGGUCAUUUCGGUCCCAUCAACUGUGCAACUUUCCACCCUGACGGCAAGAGCAAUGGAGGAGAAGACUUGUGAACACAGCAGCUUGGACUCUGCUAGGUAGAGUGUAGGAGCAACUUUAUUUGAAGCAGAUCACUUGUUUGCUGGACCUGUGAGUAUUUUACUGAAAUGUGUAAUUGCUUGAGGAAAGUGUCAUUCCAUUUAUUGUGCCUUAAUGCUAUAGUCAGAUACUUAACAGAGUCACUUUUUUGGCUUUUGCUGGUUAUUCCAGCUCAUUGAGCCUUAAUGCUAUUUUAAACUGUAUUUAAUUGUUGUAAACCUUCCAGAAUAAAGGAAGUUGUUGGAA